rnacentral:rRNA from 1 species
GAUGAACGCUGGCGGCGUGCCUAAUACAUGCAAGUCGAGCGAACGGACGAGAAGCUUGCUUCUCUGAUGUUAGCGGCGGACGGGUGAGUAACACGUGGAUAACCUACCUAUAAGACUGGGAUAACUUCGGGAAACCGGAGCUAAUACCGGAUGAUAUUUUGAACCGCAUGGUUCAAAAGUGAAAGACGGUCUUGCUGUCACUUAUAGAUGGAUCCGCGCUGCAUUAGCUAGUUGGUAAGGUAACGGCUUACCAAGGCAACGAUGCAUAGCCGACCUGAGAGGGUGACCGGCCACACUGGCACUGAGACACGGUCCCGACUCCUACGGGAGGCAGCAGUAGGGAAUCUUCCGCAAAGGGCGAAAGCCUGACGUAGCAACGCCGCGUGAGUGAUGAAGGUCUUCGGAUCGUAAAACUCUGUUAUUAGGGAAGAACAUAUGUGUAAGUAACUGUGCACAUCUUGACGGUACCUAAUCAGAAAGCCACGGCUAACUACGUG